rnacentral:rRNA from 1 species
UACGAAGGGGGCUAGCGUUGUUCGGAUUUACUGGGCGUAAAGCGCACGUAGGCGGAUCGAUCAGUCAGGGGUGAAAUCCCAGAGCUCAACUCUGGAACUGCCUUUGAUACUGUCGAUCUGGAGUAUGGAAGAGGUGAGUGGAAUUCCGAGUGUAGAGGUGAAAUUCGUAGAUAUUGGGAAGAACACCAGUGGCGAAGGCGGCUCACUGGUCCGAUACUGACGCUGAGGUGCGAAAGCGUGGGGAGCAAACAGG